AUGGAUGUGAGAAUAAGGGAGACACAAAGCCAAGGACCACCCAUGCGGAUGUACGGGGUUCUACAGCUGACACCCUAUAUCCAGCUUCCAAGUCUUCAGGAGUCAUCCUCCCUGGACCAUGCCAUGCAUCUGCACCCUCUGGAUGACACAGACUGCCUGCUGGACUGGCAUCUGUCUUGUCACGUAUCAAGCCUUACCUCUGAGUCCCCGUUCUUCCUCACAUACAGAAUGUUUGUUCUGAUGCCGAGUGAACAGGUGAAUUCAUCCAAACGCUGGAGCUUAGCCUACAGCCCCCUUCCAACCAAGAAUACCCACAAUCCCACUAACAUAGCCUACUUCUUGACCACAUCUUCUUGCUCUCUGUUGGGACAACUGCUUUUGAGACCGUCUGGUCUCCUGGCUUCCCAACUCUGGCUCUCUUCCUCCAGAUGUCACUGCCCAGGCUCCUCUGAAGGGUCCUGCUGCCACCCUCCCCCAGGCACUGCUGCCCCUUGGAGCUCUGGCCCUUGAUCCACUCUCAACACUUAAGAGUCCUGAACCAUCAGGCAACACUGCAGGGCCCAGAGUUUCUCUUAACUUUGGAAGCUAAAGAUCCCCUUAGGAAUUAGACAAAACCAUGGACUAUUUGCCCCCAGGAACACACACAUGUACUGAAAUUCUGUAUAUAUGGUCCAGAGUUCCACACAUAUUUAUACAUACUAAUUCCAUACAUGCGAAUGAAUCCCAAAUAUGCUACUCCACCUGGGCCUCUCCCCAGAGCCUGCUUGCUAUCUAUUAUCUAUCUAUCUGUUUAUUUAUUUAUUUAUUUAUUUAUUUAUUUAUUUAUUUAUUUAUUAUUUUUAAGAGGGUUUCAUGCCCAGGGUCACCUGGGUGGCUCAGUGGUUGAGCGUCUGCCUUCUGCUCAGGGCGUGAUCCCGGGGUCCUGGGAUGGAGCCCUGCAUCUGGCUCCCUGCUCAGUGGGGAGCCUGCUUCUCCCUCUGCCACUCCCCUUGCUUGUGCUCUCUCUCUCUCUGUCAAAUAAGUAAAACCUUUGGGGGGGGGGGAAAUCCGUUUUAAACAACAAGAAAGUAUGGCUUAAACAGCACACAUUUAUUCUCACCUAGUGCUAGAGGCUGGAAGUCCAAGGUCAAGGUGAGAGCAGGGCUGCUUCCUCUUGAGGCCUAUCUCUGGGGUCGUAGACAGUCCUCUCCCGUGUCCUCAUGUGCAACUUCUUUUUUUUUAUUAUUUUUAAAAAGAUUUCAUUUAUUUAUUUAUUUAUUUAUUUAUUUAUUUAUUUAUUUAUUCUUAUUUUUAAGAUUCUAUUUUUUAUGAGCAACACAGAGAGAGAGGCAGAGGGAUAAGCAGGCUCCCUGUGGGUGAUCCCAGGACCCCUGGGAUCACGACCUGAGCCAAAGGCAGACGCUCAAACACUGAGCCACCCAGUUGCCCCUGUGUCCGAACUUCUUGUAAAGACCCCAGUCAGGUUGAAUCAGGGCCUCACUUUACCUUAAUCAUCUCUAUAAAGGCCUCAUCACCAAACAUAGUCCCAUUUUGAGGGAAAUUCAUAUGGCAAGACUUCAAUGUAUGAGUUUCAGAGGGACAUGGUUCAGCCCAUCACAGCAGCCGUAUUCAGUGCCCGCAGCUUGCACCCAGGACUCUGACCACCACCGCUGCCACCCCAGCCCCAGUUCUUGCUCCCCAUUUCUCACCAACAUAACUGGCCCUCUAGCCACUUGUCAUCUCUGGUCUUAUUACCCUCAAAGGAGCCUGAGGCCGGGUGUUUAGGGUGCGCCGAGGAUCUUAAACAGGGCUAUGAGCAUGUUGGACUUUGGAAAGGUCCCGGCUGCAUAGGUAACGGCGACUGGUUUCCCAUUGGUGCUCUAACCGUCGCCCACCAAGCGGCUUACAACAUAUUAUUACCUCACGGUGUUGUAGUUGGGAAGGACGCCUGCUGGCCUCGGCAAGGCUGGGAUCGGGGGGUCAGCCAGGUGGGCUUUAUGGGGACUCUGGGGAACAGUCGUUUUCAGGCUCAUUCAGGGUGUUGGUAGAGUUCAGGUCUAUGUGCUUAGGGACAAUUGCCUGUUUCCUUGCUGGCUGUCCUUCAGAUUCUAGAUGCCACCUGCAUUCCCUGCCUCACGGUUCCCUCCAGGGACAAUGGGUUGAGUCUGUCUCAUGCUUCGGUCCCUGCCUCUGCCUCUAGUCAGAGAAAUCUCCGCAUUUACGGGCUCUAGUCACUGGUCUGGGCCCAGCUCGAUGGUCCAGGAUACUCUCCUAUCUCAGGGUCUGCGACCUUAAUGACAUCGGCAGUCUCUGCACAGCAGAGCUCUGCUGAGUCCUGAGGGGAUGAGACUCCUGGGGGGGACGUGAGUCCUGCCUGGAUUUGAGGGUAAUAAGACCAGAGACGACAAGUGGCUACAGGGCCAGUUGUGUUGCCCUGGGUUUCCUUUGAGGCUCCCCGUAACUGCAUUUGGGGCCACCCCAGCAUCUCACUAGCAUCUCUUCACACGCAACCCGCUCUCAAAUGUGUUCUAUAUCAAAUUUUAACAGAACUGGAGAGACACCCCCCCCCCCGCCCCAACAUUGAACAUUUCCGCCAGGAUAACUCACUUUUGUGCAGUCCUCAUCCCAGAACAAAACUGGGAUUUCUCCAUCUGUUUACUUACGAAGGCCCUGAGAUUGCAAGCGCAGGUGCGGUGCACUCGCCCCGGAAGACGCACGCGGGAGGCUCUCUGUUGCAGGACCGCGCACGGAAGACGGAGGCUGCCAACCAUCCC
rnacentral:lncRNA from 1 species